rnacentral:rRNA from 1 species
CCUACGGGUGGCAGCAGUGGGGAAUAUUGGACAAUGGAGGCAACUCUGACCCAGCUACGCCGCGUGAGUGAUGACGGUCUUCGGAUUGUAAAGUUCUUUUCUAAGGGAAGAAGAAGGUGACGGUACCUUAUGAAUAAGCCUCCGCUAACUACGUGCCAGCAGCCGCGGUAAUACGUAGGAGGCAAGCGUUAUCCGGAAUGACUGGGCGGAAAGGGUGAGUAGGUGGGUUGACAAGGUAGUAGCGCAACUCCGGGGCUGAACUUGGGAACUACUACUGAGACUGUUGGGCUUGAGUGCAGGAGGGGCAAGUGGAAUUCCUGGUGUAGCAGUGGAAUGCAUAGAUAUUAGGAAGAACACCGGUGGCGAAGGCGGCCUGCUAGACUGUAACUGACGCUGAGGCACGAAAGCGUGGGGAGCAAACAGGAUUAGAUACCCCAGUAGUC